AAGUCGUAACAAGGUUUCCGUAGGUGAACCUGCGGAAGGAUCAUUAACACAAUCUAAACAUUGUAACACCACGUGAACUGUUACCCUCCCUGGAUUUCGAGAUUGCGCUCCUUGACUGGGGUGUAAUUUCGAACUCUGGGCUACCACUUGCAUGUUUGCUGUCUGUCGGUUUGUGGAUAUUCGUUGAUUCGUCUACCUUUCAAACCGUGUCGGACGCUUCAAAGCAACUUGCAUGUUUUUUUUCACCCCAUCUUACUGCUUAAGCUUGAUUGUUUAAGCUUGACCUGGACAUUUUCCUUUGAAAAUUUCCUCAUUGAAUGCUUUACAGGUUUUGCUCAGCAACAACCGACUAAACAUACAAAACAACUCUUAACAAUGGAUAUCUUGGUUCUC
rnacentral:misc_RNA from 1 species